AUUGAACGCUGGCGGCAUGCCUUACACAUGCAAGUCGAACGGUAGCACGGGAGCAAUCCUGGUGGCGAGUGGCGAACGGGUGAGUAAUAUAUCGGAACGUGCCCGGUCGUGGGGGAUAACGUAGUGAAAGCUACGCUAAUACCGCAUACGAUCUACGGAUGAAAGCGGGGGAUCGCAAGACCUCGCGCGAUUGGAGCGGCCGAUAUCAGAUUAGGUAGUUGGUGAGGUAAAGGCUCACCAAGCCGACGAUCUGUAGCUGGUCUGAGAGGACGACCAGCCACACUGGGACUGAGACACGGCCCAGACUCCUACGGGAGGCAGCAGUGGGGAAUUUUGGACAAUGGGCGCAAGCCUGAUCCAGCAAUGCCGCGUGCAGGAUGAAGGCCUUCGGGUUGUAAACUGCUUUGUACGGUAACGAAACGGUAGAGGCUCUAAUACAG
rnacentral:rRNA from 1 species